CCCAGCAGAGGUGAAGGCACGAGGCCUGGCCCCAGGGCCGGUGCACUCAGAGGGAGCACAGAGGGGACAGGUGCCCUGUAAUGGUGACACACUCACCUCCCUGUCGGUCUGCCCCAGUUACGAUGCCAGGGGGCCAGCUCUGAACUCAGGCUCUCAGGAGGUGCCGGGGGAAGGCCCAGCCAGGAGACACACGAACACCACGUAACAGUCCGGACUCUGAACUGUACGGCCAGGACUUGCCAUACAGCCUAACCCAGCCACCUCCUGAGUCACUGCCUCGUCCCCUCGGCCGAACCGCCCUCCGCCCACAUCCCGCAGGCAGCCACCCGUCACCACCCUUCCCUCACUCGGCGUGGGCCUCGUUCGCUGGGCCCAGAGGGGCGCCUGGCUCCUGCUAACACACCGCAUGGGACAAGAGCUAUCCAGAGCGACCCCAAGAUCUCUUAGUAACAGCUCACUCAGAACCCAUCACUAUGUAUGCACAAACAUCCUUCCUUCCCCCAGACCACUGCACAGCAAGAGACCAGACAGACAUUUCUUCCUGACCCUGCAAGUACCUGAAACUUGAAGACUGGGAUUCUUUGUACUAGUCACGGUGGUCUGUGGCCCUAUAGAGAUUACUGCCUCAUCCUUUGCUGAGCUUUGCCUUUAAAGCAUCCUGCAGCAAUGUAACCACCGCCACCUACUGGUGAGGAGACUUUCUUUCUCAUUCCUGAUCCCCACCAUGCCGGCCAGUCCUCCAUCAUUUCAAAAAAUGUAUCUACUCGACUCAGAAAUUAGAGCGCUCCACCCCAUCUAAC